AAUGGCCUGCAGCUAUGCCACCUCAGGCUGUGAUCAUGUCACAUCUUAUUAGCUAUGUGGGUCAGCACUGGUCAGUACUUAGAUGGGAGGCUUCUAAGGAAAAGCUAGGUUGGUGAUUC
rnacentral:rRNA from 1 species